rnacentral:rRNA from 1 species
UACGGAGGGUGCAAGCGUUAUCCGGAUUCACUGGGUUUAAAGGGUGCGUAGGUGGGCAGGUAAGUCAGUGGUGAAAUCUCCAAGCUUAACUUGGAAACUGCCGUUGAUACUAUCUGUCUUGAAUAUUGUGGAGGUGAGCGGAAUAUGUCAUGUAGCGGUGAAAUGCUUAGAUAUGACAUAGAACACCAAUUGCGAAGGCAGCUCGCUACACAUAUAUUGACUCUGAGGCACGAAAGCGUGGGGAUCAAACAGG